rnacentral:rRNA from 1 species
GACGAACGCUGGCGGCGUGCUUAACACAUGCAAGUCGAACGGAAAGGCCCCUUUGGGGGUACUCGAGUGGCGAACGGGUGAGUAACACGUGAGUAACCUGCCCUUGACUUCGGGAUAACUUCAGGAAACUGGGGCUAAUACCGGAUAGGAAUCCUUGCUGCAUGGUGGGGGUUGGAAAGCUUCGGCGGUUUUGGAUGGACUCGCGGCUUAUCAGCUUGUUGGUGGGGUAGUGGCUUACCAAGGCUUUGACGGGUAGCCGGCCUGAGAGGGCGACCGGCCACAUUGGGACUGAGAUCCGGCCAAGACUCCUACGGGAGGAAGCAGUGGGGAAUAUUGAACAAUGGGCGGAAGCCUGAUGAAGAAACGCCGCGUGCGGGAUGACGGCCUUCGGGUUGUAACCCGUUUUAAGCAGGGGCGAAGCUUGUGGUGACGGUACCUGAAGAAGAAGAACCGGCUAACUACGU